rnacentral:rRNA from 1 species
CAGGACGAACGCUGGCGGCGUGCCUAAUACAUGCAAGUCGAACGGUCUUUCUAUGGAAGCUUGCUUCCACUGAGAAGAUAGUGGCGAACGGGUGAGUAACACGUGGGUAACCUGCCCAUAAGAGGGGGAUAACAUCCGGAAACGGGUGCUAAUACCGCAUAGUUUCUUGAUCGCAUGAUUGAGAAAGGAAAGACGGCCUUUGUGCUGUCGCUUAUGGAUGGACCCGCGGCGUAUUAGUUAGUUGGUGAGGUAACGGCUCACCAAGACGAUGAUACGUAGCCGACCUGAGAGGGUGAUCGGCCACAUUGGGACUGAGACACGGCCCAAACUCCUACGGGAGGCAGCAGUAGGGAAUCUUCCGCAAUGGACGAAAGUCUGACGGAGCAACGCCGCGUGAGUGAAAGAAGGUUUUCGGAUCGUAAAACUCUGUUGUCAGAGAAGAACAAGUUGGAGAGUAACUGCUCCAGCCUUGACGGUAUCUGACCAGAAAGCCACGGCUAACUACGUGCCAGCCGCCGC